AUUGAACGCUGGCGGCAUGCUUUACACAUGCAAGUCGAACGGUAACAGGGUGCUUGCGCCGCUGACGAGUGGCGAACGGGUGAGUAAUGCGUCGGAACGUGCCGAGUAGUGGGGGAUAACGCAGCGAAAGUUGUGCUAAUACCGCAUACGUACUGAGGUAGAAAGUGGGGGACCUUCGGGCCUCACGCUAUUCGAGCGGCCGACGUCUGAUUAGCUAGUAGGUGAGGUAAAGGCUCACCUAGGCGACGAUCAGUAGCGGGUCUGAGAGGAUGAUCCGCCACACUGGGACUGAGACACGGCCCAGACUCCUACGGGAGGCAGCAGUGGGGAAUUUUGGACAAUGGGCGAAAGCCUGAUCCAGCCAUGCCGCGUGUCUGAAGAAGGCCUUCGGGUUGUAAAGGACUUUUGUCAGGGAGGAAAUCCCUAGUGCUAAUAACACUGGGGAAUGACAGUACCUGAAGAAUAAGCACCGGCUAACUACGUGCCAGCAGCCGCGGUAA
rnacentral:rRNA from 1 species